AGAGUUUGAUCCUGGCUCAGAACGAACGCUGGCGGCAGGCCUAACACAUGCAAGUCGAACGCUGUAGCAAUACAGAGUGGCAGACGGGUGAGUAACACGUGGGAAUCUUCCUAUCGGUACGGAAUAGCUCAGGGAAACUUGGGGUAAUACCGCAUACGCCCUUCGGGGGAAAGAUUUAUCGCCGAUAGAUGAGCCCGCGUCUGAUUAGCUAGUUGGUGAGGUAAUGGCUCACCAAGGCGACGAUCAGUAGCUGGUCUGAGAGGAUGACCAGCCACACUGGGACUGAGACACGGCCCAGACUCCUACGGGAGGCAGCAGUGGGGAAUAUUGGACAAUGGGCGCAAGCCUGAUCCAGCCAUGCCGCGUGAGUGACGAAGGUCUUCGGAUUGUAAAGCUCUUUUGGCGGGGACGAUAAUGACGGUACCCGCAGAAUAAGCCCCGGCUAACUUCGUGCCAGCAGCCGCGGUAAUACGAAGGGGGCUAGCGUUGUUCGGAAUUACUGGGCGUAAAGCGCACGUAGGCGGAUUUGUAAGUCAGGGGUGAAAUCCCGGGGCUCAACCUCGGAACUGCCUUUGAUACUGCAAGUCUAGAGUCCGGAAGAGGUGAGUGGAAUUCCUAGUGUAGCGGUGAAAUGCGUAGA
rnacentral:rRNA from 1 species